GGGGAAUAUUGCACAAUGGGCGAAAGCCUGAUGCAGCGACGCCGCGUGAGGGAUGGAGGCCUUCGGGUUGUAAACCUCUUUCGCUCAUGGUCAAGCCGCAACUGUGGGUUGUGGUGAGGGUAGUGGGUAAAGAAGCGCCGGCUAACUACGUGCCAGCAGCCGCGGUAAUACGUAGGGCGCGAGCGUUGUCCGGAAUUAUUGGGCGUAAAGGGCUUGUAGGCGGUUGGUCGCGUCUGCCGUGAAAUCCUCUGGCUUAACUGGGGGCGUGCGGUGGGUACGGGCUGACUUGAGUGCGGUAGGGGAGACUGGAACUCCUGGUGUAGCGGUGGAAUGCGCAGAUAUCAGGAAGAACACCGGUGGCGAAGGCGGGUCUCUGGGCCGUUACUGACGCUGAGGAGCGAAAGCGUGGGGAGCGAACAGGAUUAGAUACCCUGGUAGUCCACGCUGUAAACGUUGGGCACUAGGUGUGGGGGCCACCCGUGGUUUCUGCGCCGUAGCUAACGCUUUAAGUGCCCCGCCUGGGGAGUACGGCCGCAAGGCUA
rnacentral:rRNA from 1 species